CAUUUUCUAAAUUAAGAUGAUUUGAUAUGUUUAAUAUUAGUGGUCUUAAAAAAAAAUUCAAGAUGUAACCCGUAUUGAAACGGUGGAUUAAUUUUAUUUUACUUUUUUAUUAAUGUUGAUUCAAAAACCCGUCCCUCCAAAUCCGUCUUGCGAAAAAGCCAUUUAUUUUAUUAAUAUUAAUUUUACUUAUGAUAUGACUCUGAAUUAUAAUCUAAACAUUUUAUCUAAUAACAUAGGAGUGCACCAUAUUUAUUUAAUAGGGGAAUGUACCAUAUGACUCGAAUGCACUUUUACCCAAAUCCACCAAAACAGUCUUGCAAAAAUGCUAUAGAGAUAAGAAACGAUAGUCGGUUUUGAUAAAUAUAAGAUUAACAAAUA
rnacentral:sRNA from 1 species